CAAAGGCUUGGUCCUGACUUUGUUGUCAGCUCUAACUAGACUUACACAUGCAAGUAUCCGCACCCCUGUGAGGAUGCCCUACGCCUCCUUUCUGGAGGCAAGGAGCCGGUAUCAGGCACGAACACUUCAGCCCACGACGCCUUGCUUAGCCACACCCCCAAGGGAUUUCAGCAGUGAUAAAUAUUAAGCCAUGAGCGAAAGCUUGACUUAGUUACUGUUAAGAGGGCCGGUAAAUCUCGUGCCAGCCACCGCGGUUAUACGAGAGACCCAAGUUGACAGCCUUCGGCGUAAAGAGUGGUUAAGACGAGAUUUUGGACUAAAGCUGAACGACCUCAGAGCUGUCAUACGCGCAUGAACGUACGAAACACACCUACGAAAGUGGCUUUACCCUUUUCUGACCCCACGAAAGCUAAGACACAAACUGGGAUUAGAUACCCCACUAUGCUUAGCCGUAAACAUUGAUAAUAACCUACAUAUAUUAUCCGCCUGGGAACUACGAGCACUAGCUUAAAACCCAAAGGACUUGGCGGUGCUUUAGAUCCACCUAGAGGAGCCUGUUCUAGAACCGAUAAUCCCCGUUUAACCUCACCUCUUCUUGUUCCUUUCCGCCUAUAUACCGCCGUCGUCAGCUUACCCUGUGAAGAACCAACAGUAAGCGAAAUUGGCACAGCCCAAAACGCCAGGUCGAGGUGUAGCGAAUGAAGAGGGAAGAAAUGGGCUACAUUCAAUAACCCAUAAUGAAUACGGAUAGCACCCUGAAAGGAGUGCUUGAAGGAGGAUUUAGCAGUAAGUGGAGAAUAGAGUGCCCCACUGAAAUUGGCCCUGAAGCGCGUACACACCGCCCGU
rnacentral:ncRNA from 1 species